GGCGGCAGGCCUAACACAUGCAAGUCGAGGGCAGCACGGAGGAGCUUGCUCCCUGGUGGCGAGCGGCGGACGGGUGAGUAAUGCAUAGGAAUCUGCCCGGUAGUGGGGGAUAACGUGGGGAAACCCACGCUAAUACCGCAUACGUCCUACGGGAGAAAGCGGGGGAUCUUCGGACCUCGCGCUAUCGGAUGAGCCUAUGUCGGAUUAGCUAGUUGGUAAGGUAACGGCUUACCAAGGCAACGAUCCGUAGCUGGUCUGAGAGGAUGAUCAGCCACACUGGGACUGAGACACGGCCCAGACUCCUACGGGAGGCAGCAGUGGGGAAUAUUGGACAAUGGGCGAAAGCCUGAUCCAGCCAUGCCGCGUGUGUGAAGAAGGCUUUCGGGUUGUAAAGCACUUUCAGCGAGGAAGAAAGCCUCUGGGUCCAAUACCCCAGAGGAAGGACAUCACUCGCAGAAGAAGCACCGGCUAACUCCGUGCCAGCAGCCGCGGUAAUACGGAGGGUGCGAGCGUUAAUCGGAAUUACUGGGCGUAAAGCGCGCGUAGGUGGCUUGGCACGCCGGUUGUGAAAGCCCCGGGCUCAACCUGGGAACGGCAUCCGGAACGGCCAGGCUAGAGUGCAGGAGAGGAAGGUAGAAUUCCCGGUGUAGCGGUGAAAUGCGUAGAGAUCGGGAGGAAUACCAGUGGCGA
rnacentral:rRNA from 1 species